UACGUAGGGUGCAAGCGUUAAUCGGAAUUACUGGGCGUAAAGCAUGCGCAGGCGGUUUUGUAAGUCUGUCGUGAAAGCCCCGGGCUCAACCUGGGAAUUGCGAUGGAGACUGCAAGGCUUGAAUCUGGCAGAGGGGGGUAGAAUUCCACGUGUAGCAGUGAAAUGCGUAGAGAUGUGGAGGAACACCGAUGGCGAAGGCAGCCCCCUGGGUCAAGAUUGACGCUCAUGCACGAAAGCGUGGGGAGCAAACAGG
rnacentral:rRNA from 1 species